UCAGUACUGUUAUAAUAUAUGAAUGUAAAAAGGUUAACGGAAAGACAGUGCACAAUAAUUGUAUAUAAAAGGUUAAAUACUACGUAGCGUUAAUACCGAAGCCUCAGUAGUAACAGAGCAGUGUACUACAUCACUCAUACAUCGAACAAUUGAUUGUGAAUUUAUUCGAAAUAGUGCAAGACGGAUGCAAUAUCUGUGCAUAUAUAUGGUGUAUAGUGAUAGUGUUUAGUGUGUGAAGGAUUUUCCUGAAGGUUGUGUAACAGUUUGCUUACUUGUAAAAAGUAAAAAAAGCGCGCUAUGUUGGUAUUCAAGGAACUCAAUUCAACACAUACGUGACGCUCAAGUUGCAGAAUGUCAAGUCGACGACGGUGACAGUCAAGGGUCCGA